rnacentral:snRNA from 1 species
CGAUGUGAGGACGAUCUGGCUGCUACAUCUGUCACCCCAUUCUUUGCCAGGGUUGAUUCAGCUGAUCUGGCUGGCUAGGUGGGUGUCCCCUUCCUCCCUCACUGCUCCAUGUGUGUCCCUCCCGAAGCUGUGCACUCUAUAGAAGAGGAUGACCAUCCGCAGUAAAGGAGGACCAUUUCCUCAGUCAAGGGUAUACGAGUGGCUGCUCUCCCCUGCUAGAACCUCUAAACAAGCUCUCAAGGUCCAUAAUUUAGUUUUCCCUCUGGCUCCUGCUUUGCUCAGAACUUCUGGGAGGCCUCCCUCUGACUCCUAAAAACAAAUCUCACUGGCUUGAUAAACAAUUCUGUAUUCAAACCUGCUG